rnacentral:lncRNA from 1 species
UACAAACGAUAUCGUAGACUUAUUCUGCAAAACUAAUUAUGCAAUGUGAACAAAGACUUCAAUUGAUGGCAAGUAUCUCUAUAUAUAUUAUUAUACGAGUUACAACCUGUACAACAACGGUAGAAGCAAGAAUCAGCAAAAGUAAACAUUCCCGAGUGACGUCACUACGCGGGUUUUUCACAUGCUAUUUUCGGCAUUUUUCAAGGAACUAAUCAGAACUUUUUGAUAUAAAAUACACAUAUUUACAGAAAUAAAUGUAUGUUUUAUUAUAUUGAAC